rnacentral:rRNA from 1 species
UACGUAGGUGGCAAGCGUUGUCCGGAAUUAUUGGGCGUAAAGCGCGCGCAGGCGGUCCUUUAAGUCUGAUGUGAAAGCCCACGGCUCAACCGUGGAGGGUCAUUGGAAACUGGGGGACUUGAGUGCAGGAGAGAAGAGUGGAAUUCCACGUGUAGCGGUGAAAUGCGUAGAGAUGUGGAGGAACACCAGUGGCGAAGGCGACUCUUUGGCCUG